rnacentral:lncRNA from 1 species
UUCCUCUUAACCUUGUUUUGAAUUAUUCAGAACAACACCUAAAGAGAUGGAACACUGAUACCUGAAACCUGCGGGGAGAGGGAAUCAGAAAAGGAGAAGGAAGGUUACCAGGCCUAUGGACCAGAAGUACUCCACAAAGAGCAAAGAGGUAAAUGUAGCAAACUGGAAGAGUUUCAUUAAAGAUAUGCACUGCAUGCAGAAUAUUGAACCAUUAUUGAAAAUAAAAUUGGACACGAGAUGCUUUGGACACAAUGAACUAGGGCAGACCCAGGCCUGGUGUGGGAUGAGUCCUGAGUUCCGAUCUCACUGGUGCUACUCCUAAGGGUUCUGAGUAUGUGGAUCAAAACCUUUCACUUCUUUGGGCUCCAAGGUUCCUUUGUUUUGGAGGGUUCUGUUUGUUUGUUUUGACCAGAA